GACGAACGCUGGCGGCGUGCUUAACACAUGCAAGUCGAACGGAAAGGCCCUGCUUUUGUGGGGUGCUCGAGUGGCGAACGGGUGAGUAACACGUGAGUAACCUGCCCUUGACUUUGGGAUAACUUCAGGAAACUGGGGCUAAUACCGGAUAGGAGCUCCUGCUGCAUGGUGGGGGUUGGAAAGUUUCGGCGGUUGGGGAUGGACUCGCGGCUUAUCAGCUUGUUGGUGGGGUAGUGGCUUACCAGGGCUUUGACGGGUAGCCGGCCUGAGAGGGUGACCGGCCACAUUGUGACUGAGAUACGGCCCAGACUCCUACGGGAGGCAGCAGUGGGGAAUAUUGCACAAUGGGCGGAAGCCUGAUGCAGCAACGCCGCGUGCGGGAUGACGGCCUUCGGGUUGUAAACCGCUUUCGCCUGUGACGAAGCGUGAGUGACGGUAAUGGGUAAAGAAGCACCGGCUAACUACGUG
rnacentral:rRNA from 1 species